GGAGAAGGCAAAGUGCAGAGGAAGGAGGAGCCACUGCUAGUGGGUACGAGGUUUCUUCUUGGUACAAGGACUUCUACGUUCUGUCCUCCUGCAGCCAUCUAAAAUCAGCCAGAAAGGUUUAGGAUCCCAUUUCCUGUUCUUGCAUCGGCUGUCCAAGCUGCUGUUCCUCUCUCCGCAGUAAGAGGGUGUUUCUCUCCCUGUUCAAGAGGAGCACCAACACUUGAGGACAGUAUCAUCCCUAGACCUUGGCAAGAGAGACCACUGAGUGAGGCAUCCAUGGAACCCAAGGAAGAGGCCUACGAAGAACCUGCAGUCACCUUCUAGACCAUUCUCCCUCACCAAACUGUCCCCUCCAGAGAGCUGAGGACUGGAUCUUCCCAUGCUGACACCUCCAGUGGGAAAGAAAAUUCUAGAUUCAGCUCUGGGUGUCCAAGUCAUUAUGAAGGCAUAUUUGUCAAGGUGGAAGAAAAGGACAUAUUCUAUUUAGCAGUUUGCAAUGUCCAGCCACCUACUAAUCGUAUGUGAUGGGGGGUGAGGAGGAGAUACUUUGCAUGGCCCCCAGUGACAAAGAAGAGGCCCUUAGCUAUAGCUACUCUUGUUUUAGAGGACAACUUCUCUUCACUGAGGACAACACAGAAUCCUGGAGAUAUUUUUGAUGAGUAGUAGACAGAAUGUGCUAUAACCUUCUGGAAACUUCUACUAUUUUCCUGCAACCUGACUACCCCUUAGGUGAGGGAGUCCAGAAUGCUGGCUUGAAAUGGGAGAGAGAAAGAACUGCCACAUAAUUUGCAAGAUCUUUUUUGAAAAAGAAAAGGUAUUAAGAAUUCCAGGACAGCAUUAGGAAUGUAUUAAACCAGAAUAAGGAACAGCGGAGCUUCCCCCUAAGACCCUGGUGUGUUUCUGCAUCAGGAAACCUUCUCUCCUGCAAUGUGUCGUUUAAGAUUGAACAACAUGGUGCCUUUGCCAGAAGUUAACAGGAAACCCAAAAGGAGAUGAGCCAGACUGGUUAGUUCAGAAGAGAAUCGUUGGGGAAGACAAUGGGAGCUGCUGUUUGAAUGUGGCCCUGAGAUUAUUUGUGCUUUUCAAUCCCAUGUUACCAAAACACAUUUCAAGCUGGCCUAUAAAUCACACCUUGUGCAUAAUUUUAAGUGGAUAAAUAUUUGUCGCCCAAGUGAAUGAUGCUUCCAGCUUUCAAAAAA
rnacentral:sRNA from 1 species